rnacentral:lncRNA from 1 species
AGCAAGGAGGCCAGUGUGGUGGAGAGGGUGGGGAAGGAGGAAAAGGUGGGUGGAAGUUGACGUCAGGAGAUGGACGGAGGGGCACAUGGCGCAGGGCCAGGUAAGGCACUGCCGAGACUGUGGCUUUGAGGGGCAGGGUGCUGUGAAAGGCGAAUAACGGCCCCCCAGUGACGUCUACAUCCUAAUCCCCUGUGAAUGUUACGUUAUAUGACAAAAGAAUGCAGCCAUGAUUAAGUUCAGGAUCGUGCUUUGGGGAGAUUAUCCUGGAUUGCCCUGGCAGGCUCUUUAUGUAAUCACACAGAUCCUUAUAAUCGAGAAGGACACAGGAAGCGUGAGUCAGAGGGGCUGUGACAACAAAGGAAGCAAAGCCCUUUGAAGACGGGAGAAGGAGCUGAAAGUCAAGCAGCACUUCAGAGUCAGAAUGAUUGAGUGUGAGAGAGUCCAUGGGCCAUCGUGAGUGUUGAAGACGGAAGGGGGCCUUGAGCUAAGGAAUGCAAGAAACUUCUAGAAGCUGGAGGAGGGCCAAGCUCAGUGGCUCACGCCUGCAGUCCCAGCACUUUGGGAGGCCAAGGAAAUGGGAAACUAAUCUAGAGGAUGAGGAAGAAAUCACAGAAGGAGAAGUUGCGUCUCAUGCUGACUCAGUAUGCAAAUACUCUCUGGGAGACUUCUCCAUCCUCAGACCGCUCCAGACACCAAAUGCCUGGGCCUUUGACCGCCUUGCUAAGAGGGUCAACCAAGCCAGCCAGCCCUAUUCUAGGUUCUGGGGAGACAGCCAUGAAUGAGACAGUGAUGGCUGCUUUUGGAGAGCUGACCUUCUAGUGGGAGACAGGCCACAGAAAAACAAAGCACAUGGAACAUAAUGUCAGGGAUGACGAUGCUGUGAAGGAAUGGAGCAGGUGCUAAGAACCUACUGGAACGGGCAUGCUUAAGAGGUGCUGGAGAGGGUCAACUCUUGGGUGACUGCUUCGAGCAAUGGGAGGGUGGGGAGCAGGGGUGUUGUACACACUGCGACAGGGCCAGGUUUGCAAAAGAAAUCAAGACAUGGCCACACAAACACUUCUGUGUGACUGUUCACAGCAGCAUUAUUCACAAUAGCCAAAAGGUAGAAAUAACCCAAAUGCCCAUGAACAGACG